rnacentral:SRP_RNA from 1 species
GCCAGGUGUGGUAGCGCAUGCCUGUCAUCCCAGAUACUUGGGAGGCUGAGGCAGGAGGAUCUCUCAAGCCCAGGAGUCCUGGGCUACAGUGAGCUAUGAUCGUACCACUGCACCCCAGCCUGGGCAACAGAGCAAGGUCCUGUCUCUU